CUAAAGCUAAUACUACGGCUAAUUGACUAGUUCAGGCUAAUUAUCACAGAUUUGCAAGAAGGGACACUACGAACACAGAUAAAAAAGGAGUUUGUUUCGGAUAAACUCGGAAGAAGAAAACGAAAAUCUUUGAAGCUGCGUGUAAGCUGCUAUCAGGACGUGUAUUCUUCCCAAUCCGAACAGUUUCCUACAUCCGGGAUAAAUUUUUAUGUUUGAUAAUACAGAAGAUAUCAUCAACGUAUCGGCACCAGCGUUUGGAUAACUCGCCUUUCUCUUUCAAACAUUUUUCUAGGUUUGAUAUAAAUAGUUAACAAAGAAAAGGAGAGAGCGGUUUACCCAUCGGGGCACCCUUGGUUUGUUUGUAGAAGAUAUUUCGGAAUGUGAAAUAAUUCUCGUCCAUGGAAAGGCGAGUAAGCUUGAUAUAAGAUCUUACUUUGCUUUUCCAUAAACUGUUGCUAUUUUGUUGUAGUAACCAAUGCUCUAAAAGGUUAAUUGAAUCUUUUACAGGGACACUUGGGAAUAGUGCGGUUAUGUCAAAGGAGACCAUAAUCUCGUCGUCUUUGAUUUCACCUGAGUUUUGAAGUUUGAAAGUGCAUUCUUGUGUAUUGGUGACCCUAGUAACAAUUGAGGUUUUAUAGUAGUUUUAUAGCCACUGAUAAAACUUAGAUUGCACUUGUAGCGUGCUUUAAAAUUUCAAUUGUUACUUGGGGACAGAUCGACUGGAAAACUUUUUUGGAAUAUUUUGAAAUUCUUGUACUAGCCAUUUUGCAAUUUUUUGGGUUGGGGUACCUAUUGAUGAAAUAAUUUCCCUGAUUUAAUUUCCUGGUUUGUGAAUUUUUGGGGUUUGGAACUUUGAGACGAUUUAGAUUUUCUCCCAAGAUGGGUUUGCAGUCUUUAAGACUUUUUUAAACACGUUUGAUCAUGUCCGGAAGGGGGCAAGGGCCUAAAAUUCUUCUAUCUAUUCAAUGAACAAUGAAAUUCAAUGGAUUCACCUUCGUCUUGCCACUGCCUCCUUCGUCACUAAAUACAUACAAAACAAAACAAUAAAGGCAAAGUCCCUUCUUUCGAUUCUACGAAAAUCGAGAAGCAGAAGUAGCAACUUUCGUUUUACCAUGGCAAUCCGAAUAUUCAAUCUCGUUCUUAUUUACACUUAGUAAUUUUCGAUUCUCAGUUUAAUUUUUGUAAAAUUAAAUUAAAGCAAUAUGCAUUAUAAAAUACAACUAGAAUACAGUAAAUACGGGAAUUGUGCAGAUCUAUCAUCCUUUAUUCUUCCAAUAUCAACA